AUCGAACGCUGGCGGUAUGCUUAACACAUGCAAGUCGAACGAUGAGAAAGAGCUUGCUCUUUCGAUUAGUGGCGGACGGGUGCGUAACGCGUAGGAAUCUACCUAUUAGUGGGGGACAACUUAGGGAAACUUAAGCUAAUACCGCAUACGCCCUACGGGGGAAAGAAGGGGAUCGCAAGACCUUUUGCUAAUAGAUGAGCCUGCGUAGGAUUAGCUGGUUGGUGGGGUAAAAGCUCACCAAGGCGACGAUCCUUAACUGGUUUGAGAGAAUGAUCAGUCACACGGGAACUGAGACACGGUCCAGACUCCUACGGGAGGCAGCAGUGGGGAAUUUUGGACAAUGGGCGAAAGCCUGAUCCAGCCAUGCCGCGUGCAGGAUGAAGGCCUUCGGGUUGUAAACUGCUUUUGUACGGAACGAAAAGGUUUGGCCUAAUAAGCUGAGCUCAUGACGGUACCGUAAGAAUAAGCACCGGCUAACUACGUGCCAGCAGCCGCAGUAA
rnacentral:rRNA from 1 species